GUUAUAACGUAUUAAUUACGUUUUGAAAUUGUUCAAUUGAUUAAUAGAGUAUUAAUCAAAUUAGUUAAUUUUUUUAGGGCAUUGGGCCUAAUUUACCCAUUUUUCGCUCCUCGGGCAAAGCACUUUCGCAAGGGGCCCUUGGCUCCCUCCGUGCAUGAAAGCAGGUCUUAAAGGCCUCUAAUAAUCAAUUCUAAAACACAGUCAAUGCUCCUCAGUGAACUAUAUGUACACGGUAACAACCCCUUCAUCCCCAGUCGAUGCUUCAGUGUAGUAUAGAACACAAUCAUGUGAACUCGAAGAAAUAUAUAAUCAUGGUUACUCUUCUGAUCCAUCUCAAUAUCACGUGUCUUACAUUCCAAAUCACAAAUAUUUCAUAUCUUAUCUUUGAAUUCCACAACUAUCAUAACGAAAGAAUAUUUCCAUAAUAAUCAUGUAAUCGAAUAUAUACUUACGUAAUAUAAUAGUAUAAUUAAUUAUCAAUACUUGAAUAUAUUUAAAUUUUUUUCCACUCACGGAUCUACGGAUAUAAAUCUGAUUAAAUUGAUGAGCCUUUUCAAGCUUCCACGUCCUUAUCUGAAAUAACGGUAUAAUUUUUCGAAUUAAAACCAAACAAUUAAAAUAAUAUAAAUCCACCACUUAACUUCUCAACUUCUAUACUUAAUUUUUCGAAUUAAAACCAAACAAUUAAAUUAAUAUAAAUCCACCACUUAACUUCUUAACUUCUAUACUUACUUUUACAUCUCCAAUUCCCCAACUUUUCUUCUGUAUAUUGAAAUCUGGCAUCGAAACCGUUGACAGAAAUAGCACUUUUCUGGGUAGAAUUUCAAAAUUAACACCUGUACUAUAAUAGCUCGAAAAUUGAUUUUUAAAAAUGAAGAAUUCCAAUCUCAAAUACUUAAGUGUUUAGCAUCAUAUAAUCAGAAGAAACUCAAAGAAUAUCUCUUUUAUCUAGCAACCCACUUCUAAAAUUCUACUAUCUUCAUCUCCAAUUUUCAAAUAAACAUUUCCUUACUCUAUUCUUAUUUAAAACCUUGAAUACAUAUCAACAACACUUAAUUCUUGCUAACUUCAAACUUUUAAAGAUAAGUUCCGUAAACCCUAAAGGAGAUAAUUUCACAUUCUUAUACUUACCUCUCUAAAUCAAAGGGGGAAAUUGAGAACUUGACCUUGUAAACUUGGAACCUACCCCUUCGUUCUUUUUCUCUCUCUCUUCCAUUUCCUCCCUUUUCCUUCCAUGGUUUCAUUCCUGUUUCUCCAUUCAGUUUUUGUCCCCUCAAAAUGACCAAAAAGAGAUCAAUUAUCCUUUAAGUUAGUGGAUAACCAUUAUAAUAUUGCAACUAAAGUCCCCAUCCUUAAUAUAAUAUACCUUUAAUUCCAAUAAAUAGAAAACAAAUCCCUAAUUGUCUAUAUAUAUACUUUUGGCCCUUAAGUACUUGUAAUUACAAAUAAAGCCCCAUAAAAAUUAUUUUUUCAACUUAAAUCCUUAUUAACUUUGAAUUUGACUAAUUACUUUGCUUGACUUUGACUAAAAAUGAGUGGGGUGUAAUAAUCUUGCCCACUUCAAAGAAAUUCAUCCUCAAAAUUCAAUCCACUAGAAGUCGAACAUAUUGGAAAAUAAAGCAAAAAUAAUGAAUGAUUCCUCCAACAACCUUUAACAAGGCCCAAAGUUCAUUCUUUCCUUAUUAUACUUCGAAUAACUUUCCUAUGAACCAAUAUAUGAUAUUUUCAACUUUUCAUUUUACAUUUCUUAUUUCUCCUUCUCUAUAAAUAUGCACUCCCUGCAAUACCCAUAUACCUAUUCAGCUUAUCUUCUUCUCUUGUAAUUUUCCAUUUCACUUUUCAGUUAUGCCCAUAUACAACACACAACUUACUAAUGCAGUUUUCAAUUCCUCAUCCUUUUCUUUCCACGCCACAAAGUUUCAUUGUCCAUUUAAUUCUUUAAGGCACCACAACUACAUGUAGAGAGAAUCCAAAAUUUUGCACAACUUAAUACUUACCCGUACUAAAGUAAGAAACUUGAGCUUACCAAUUUCUUAAAUAAAGAAAGAAAAACACAACACCUAGACUUUAUCUCUAUUCCUCCUUUUUUUUUUUUUUUCAACCUAAUUUAUCACUAAUCUCUCUCAUUUUGUAACCUACCAUAUAAUUGGUCAAGGUAGUCAUAAUCCCAUCCUAUAUUUUUCUCGAAGUACACAUGAAUGUUAAUCUCUUCAAUGCGUAAUAUGCAUAAUAAAACAAUGUAUUUCAUUGAUCAACAUCCUAUAUAAUAUUAUCAUUUUGUCCUCUCAUAUAGCAUAAGUAUAUACCAACAUGCUUCCUACUCUCGUCCCAAAGGUAUGACCACAAUUCACCACAAUUUUCGAUAGCGCUAAUGAUCAUUUAGCUCCCCGACAUAAUCAAAAUCAUUUAGCUCCCCGACAUAAUCAAAAUC
rnacentral:lncRNA from 1 species